AUUGAACGCUGGCGGCAUGCCUUACACAUGCAAGUCGAACGGUAACAGGUUAAGCUGACGAGUGGCGAACGGGUGAGUAAUAUAUCGGAACGUGCCCAGUCGUGGGGGAUAACUGCUCGAAAGAGCAGCUAAUACCGCAUACGACCUGAGGGUGAAAGCGGGGGAUCGCAAGACCUCGCGCGAUUGGAGCGGCCGAUAUCAGAUUAGGUAGUUGGUGGGGUAAAAGCCUACCAAGCCAACGAUCUGUGGCUGGUCUGAGAGGACGACCAGCCACACUGGGACUGAGACACGGCCCAGACUCCUACGGGAGGCAGCAGUGGGGAAUUUUGGACAAUGGGCGCAGGCCUGAUCCAGCCAUGCCGCGUGCGGGAAGAAGGCCUUCGGGUUGUAAACCGCUUUUGUCAGGGAAGAAAAGGUUCUGGCUAAUAUCCGGGACUCAUGACGGUACCUGAAGAAUAAGCACCGGCUAACUACGUGCCAGCCGCCGCGGUAACAC
rnacentral:rRNA from 1 species